rnacentral:tRNA from 1 species
UCCUGGGUAGCCUAGUGGACAUGGCAUCUGUCCGCUAAGCGGAAGGUUGUGGGUUCGAUUCCCAUCCCUGGAU